ensembl:rRNA 5S_rRNA 5S ribosomal RNA
GUCUACGCCAUACCAUCCUGAACAUGCCCGAUCUUGUGUGAUCUCGGAAGCUAAACAGGGUCACGCCUGAUUAGCACUUGGAUGGGAGACCACCUGGGCAUACAGGGUGCUGUAGGCU